ensembl:lncRNA
CCAAUUUUGAAUUCUCUGCAACGUCUGUCAGCCGCGGUCCCCGUCCCCCCCACCACCCCAUGGCUUCAGUUUCUGAGUUAGUUUUACCGGACAGUGACCAAAUCGGAGGGGAAAACUCCUAAAACCAUUGGGGGGGGGGGCGGGCUGGGGACUGGGGACUGCUCCAGAAGCCUGCCUGGUCCUGCCCCUCUCCCUGACAGUUUGCUCUCUUGCUUCCUACUUACUAUCUUUCUGCCCGGAGCUGUCCAGAAAGGGGACUGGAGACCCAAAGGAGUCCGGGAGCAAAGAUCAGAGAGGCGCUGCCAGUGGACUAGGAAGCUCGGCUGAUACUGCUCCCGCCCUGGGCUUCAGAGAGUCUUUCCCUGUCGAACAAGAGGGCCAAGAAGGCAGGGCUGCCCGCCUGCACUGGAAGAGACAGCAGCCUCCUACAGCACCACUACAGGCACUGCGAGGACAUAACACCAUAGAGCAGUUCCUCUGCCCUCCGAAACGACAACUUUCCUACCAUCUUGGAGGCAGAGAAAAGAGGGGCCAAGGGAAAAAGUGCACCGGCUCCGGAUAAAGUACAAAUUUCUACCUCUCAUCUCUGGAAAAAGUCCACACUCGCGGUCUACACCGGCGCCUAGGGGUCUGAAAAGCAAGGGAAGAAAACUGAAGCGAGUUCAUUUGCUCCGUGGGGGGGAAUGUUUCUGCACCUUCUGAUGGAAAGAAAUCUUUACAAGACACAGGUUUUACGAUAUUGUUGUUUUCCAUUUUAACUUUUUUCCAUGAUGGUGAUAGUGGUAGCUUAAGUUUUGUUUUGGUUUGGUUUGUUUUCAGGCUAAUAAUGAGUUUUCUCUAUGGCAGGUCCAAGUUCUGUAUCUGGUGGUCAGUCUGUAAACAGGCACCUCAGAGACUUAUAGGUCACUUUAUUGUGUUUAUUUUAUUGCCCGUUUGUAUUGUAUGUAUGCGUGUUUAUGUUUUCAUGGGUUACAGUUAGGAUUUUGUGGGUUUGGUGUCCAGGAAACUGAGGGUGCUACAAGUCAAUUGUAAAGAGAUGUCUUUUGUCUUCUCUCAAAGCAAUGUAAGUAAAACCUAUUGGCUGUCCAGAAAGGCAUUAAUACAGCUGUUUAUUUUUCACAGUGCAAAUCAAAGCACUGUGUAUUUAAAGUCUCCUUACAACAGACCAAGCCUGUGAUGGUCUAGCUGCCCAAGAAGAAAGAUGACUCCUGUUAACCUACCAGGAAAGAUGCUUUGGAUUUUCUUUCAGUAAAAUUGUGUAUUAAGAAUGACAUCUAGGAUUUCAUUUGUGUUAUUUUUCUUUCAAUUUGUAUAGAUAAUUUAAUGUCCGGGGCUUUGGUGCAUUGCAUACAGUUCUUCUAUCUACUCUCGUUAACACAGAAUUGAGAGGUGUGUUUAUUCUUCCUAGUGUUGAAAUGUUCAGAACUUCCAAAGUGGUACGGGACUGUUGAGUAACUUCAUACACUGCAAGGACGUCGUGCACUUACUUUUAAAAAAAAAUGAUUCAUUUAUUUUUAUUUUAUGUGCAGUGGUGUUUUGCUUGAAUGUAUGUCUGUGUAAGGGUGUUGUAUCCUUCUGGAGCUGGAGUUAACAGACAGCUGAAAGCUACCAUGUGGGUGCUGGGAAUUGAACCUGGGUCCUCUGGAAGAGCAGCCAGUGCUCGUAAUCACUGAGCCAUCUCUCCAGCCCCAGAAUUUAUUUAUUUAUUUAUUUAUUUAUUUAUUUUUUAAGAGCAAACUUUAGCAUGCAAUCAGGAUCAAAGUUAAGCUGUUCUGCUUGUGGAGGUGACAGCAAGGUGCUGCCGACUGGCUUUUACUCAGAACUGUAGUGGAGAAUUCCUUGUGGAGAAUUCCUUGCAGAUGAAUUGGAAGCACAGUAGGAAAUGGCCAGGUUUUUCUUAUGUUCCAAGGGAAUGAGGAUUUUCAUUUAAAAUCCAUUACAAAAUCAUUUAUGAGUAGCUGAUAGCUCCAGCUUAAAAUUCCUAUUUCUGAGUUAUAACUUUAAGAUAAAUUCAGAUACUAUUUUUCUGUGGAACUUUAUGAUCUAAAUUUGUAUAUAAUACCUUCUGUGAGUUUUACCUCCCUUUUUGAUGGGAAAAACUACAGACAUUAAAAUUUACCAGUUCCUCACACCUUAGGAACCUUUACUUGUGAAGUUGUGUUAUGUUUACAAUUUUGCGGUUUGUUUUGCUUUGGUUUAUUUGUUUUGAAAUAGGAUCUUGCUUUAUAACCCAAGUUGGUCCUGAACUUAAUAUGUAGUUCAGGCUAAUAGUCAUCCUCCUUCCUCUCAAGUGCUAGCUAGUAUUAGUCCCAUUCCACACCACCCUUUCCAGGUAUUUAUCACGUGACCCAUAAAGCACAGUGGCCAUUACAAGAGAGUAAGUUUCCAUAGCCGAGACCGCUAGUGGAGUUGGAAAGCAUGUUUGCCAACAGCGUGUUUUUCCUUAUGUGUGUGUGCCUUAACUUUAUAUAGACAUGGUCUCAAUGUUUCAAGAGCUGAAGCAACCUUUUCAUUAAACUCUCCUUAUGCAGCCACCCCUCUGGUCACCCAAGAGACUUGUUUGUAUGACAGCAAAGGCCAGUGGUAUAUGUCUUUAGGAUUUCACUGCUUUUCUAUGUCCCAAGUGUCACUUGUACAUUGCCAUAACCCAUGUUUACCCCAUCUUCCCAGCUAGCCAAAAUUGGGGGAAUACAGUUCAACCGAGAAGAAUCCCACUAAAUUUACUAUUGGAGAGUUUAAUUGUGAAGGUUUGUUACAUUUAGAGUGGAGAGAGGCACUCAGGUACCACAUGUGGGUGUCAGUUCUCUCCUUCCACCAUGGGAGUCUCAGGGAAUCAAACUCAGAUCAUCAGGUUUGGCAGCUAGUGACUUUACCCGAUGAUUUGUUUAGGUUGACAGUUAGAAUCAUUCCAAUGUCAUGUCUGACGCCUAGGAACUGUGAGUGCUAAUACAAUUAAUAACAAUUUGAGAGUCCUCAUUUUUCCCCCAACUGAAAUCCUCCACUCAAAUUUAGCUGAUAUUGCUAAGCACUUGAUAGACCUUGGGAACCUUUCUAGACACUGCAUUUCUACAUUUUUUUUUAUUUCACUGGUUUUUUUCCAGAGGGGAUUUCUCUGUGUAUUCCUGACUGUCUUGGAACUCACUUUGUAGAUCAGUCUGGCCUCGAACUCAGAGAUCCACCUGCCUCUGACUCCAGAGUGCUGGGAUCUGUGUAUGUACCGCCACCACCUGGCUAGACACUUUAAUGUGUUAUUUUAGUCACUGUUCUGGUUUGGUUUCGUUUGAGAGAGACUGUUCCACUGUGUUACCCUGGCUGGUCUGGAACUCACCCUGUAGGCCAGGCUGACCUUGAAUUCAUAGAGAUCCUCUUAUCUCUGCCUCCUGAGUGCUGGAAUUAAACCUAUAUGCCACUGUAUUCUCCCCAUUUUUGAGGAAAGCUCUAUCCAUGUAGUCCAGGCUGGCCUUGAACUCCCUAUGUGACCCAAGAUGGUCUUGAAUUCAUAAUCCUUCUGCCACGGGCUCAGAAGUGUUACAUUUAUGUGUGCCAUGGCAUCUUGCUGGAUCUACCUUUUGCUACUAGUGAUUUUAGUUUCGUAAAAAUUGGGUGCUUCAUUGUAAAUACUAUAAUGAAGUUAUUAAGAAAAUGACAACUAUAUCCUGUCCUUGAAAGGUCUCCUUUAUACAGUGAUAUACAUGUGUGGAAAUGUAACAGUACCCAUUAUUGUGUAUGCUUACUAAAAAUUAAUUUAAAAAAAAAUCUCAUUUAGAAAUUAUAGAUUUAAACUUUUAGACUGAUAUGUGCUUAAUGUAUCAGAAUUUGCCUCUAAGUAAAAAAGUCACACCUCUCUUGAAUCACCAACUCCUUUUUAUUCUUUAAAGAAAGAAACCACUGACAAUAGACAUUGUUAUUCAAGUUCACUCAGAUUUUUGUUUGUUUUGAAGAGAGCUUGUUUUGUGGGUCAUUUGGGUUUUUUGUUUUGUUUUUUCCUUUUUUGAGAUAGGGUCUCAUGUACCCUGGGUUAGCCUCAAACUGUCUAGAGCUGAUUCUCUUCUCUCCACCUUUGAAGUGGUGGGGUCAUGGGCGUCUACACCACACUCAGCCUAUUUAACUCCACACCAAACACAGGCCUGGUAGCUCAAUAGUAAGAGGUGGAGGCAGGAGGAUGGACAGUUCCAGAGCCCUAGCUUGAAUGGAUGGACGAGUGUCUUACAACACAGUGUUCCCAUUCCUGCAGAGGCUGGGCAGCACAGUACUGAGCCAGUUACUGGUUGCUAUGGAUCACCGCACAGACCAGACUCCUCACUAAGUACAGGUUCUAUGUGGCAGUCGCCCGGCUAUGACUGCAAUUGUCAGGUUGUGACUCUCAAUAUCCACUGCACCACAGCCUAAACCCCUGAAGUGAAUGAGUGGCAGGUAGUGAGUGGUGUGCCUAUCUAAGUUUUACAUUAAGGUGACCAUAGACUAUUUUUUUUUUAUUCUAAGCCUGUUUUAGAAAUAGCCGUUGAAGUAUUUCUACCUAAAACAAAGACUGUGUUUUAUUGUGGUUACUGGAUCUUGAAAGAAAUAUAAAAACAAAACAAAAAACCUCAAAAAUAUAUUCAAUGAGGAAUAAAUGAGGAAAAAAAAGAAAAUGUCUCAGCUACACAUUGUAUAGAACAGAUACAAUAGCUUUAGAUUAUUUCAAUGUGAAAUUUCUGUUUAAGAAAAAAAUGCAAGUUUAAGCUAGCCAUGGUAAUAUAUUCCUUUAAUCCCUGAAAUUUGGUAGACAGAGGCAGGAAGAUCUCUUCAAAUUCAAGGCCAG